ACUCCUACGGGAGGCAGCAGUGGGGAAUAUUGGACAAUGGGCGCAAGCCUGAUCCAGCCAUGCCGCGUGAGUGAUGAAGGCCCUAGGGUUGUAAAGCUCUUUCACCGGUGAAGAUAAUGACGGUAACCGGAGAAGAAGCCCCGGCUAACUUCGUGCCAGCAGCCGCGGUAAUACGAAGGGGGCUAGCGUUGUUCGGAUUUACUGGGCGUAAAGCGCACGUAGGCGGACUAUUAAGUCAGGGGUGAAAUCCCGGGGCUCAACCCCGGAACUGCCUUUGAUACUGGUAGUCUUGAGUUCGAGAGAGGUGAGUGGAAUUCCGAGUGUAGAGGUGAAAUUCGUAGAUAUUCGGAGGAACACCAGUGGCGAAGGCGGCUCACUGGCUCGAUACUGACGCUGAGGUGCGAAAGCGUGGGGAGCAAACAGGAUUAGAUACCCCUGUAGUCCCA
rnacentral:rRNA from 1 species